CUAAAAUAAUAUUAUGAUAUCAUAUUCAAAUUGCAUACUUAUCAUUGCGAGAUUUCCAAAAUCGACCUAUAGAGACAAUAACUCAAAUAACAUUAUGAUCGCAUAUUCAACGCAUGUUGAGAUCCUUUCGAAUGAAUGUGUUUCAAGCUCUUAUGGUAGGUAUAGAUAUGAAAAGUCUCUCCAUACAAGUAAUGGCAUCAAGU
rnacentral:lncRNA from 1 species